rnacentral:rRNA from 1 species
AUUGAACGCUGGCGGCAUGCCUUACACAUGCAAGUCGAACGGCAGCACGGGUGCUUGCACCUGGUGGCGAGUGACGAACGGGUGAGUAAUACAUCGGAACAUGUCCUGUAGUGGGGGAUAGCCCGGCGAAAGCCGGAUUAAUACCGCAUACGAUCUACGGAUGAAAGCGGGGGACCUUCGGGCCUCGCGCUAUAGGGUUGGCCGAUGGCUGAUUAGCUAGUUGGUGGGGUAAAGGCCUACCAAGGCGACGAUCAGUAGCUGGUCUGAGAGGACGACCAGCCACACUGGGACUGAGACACGGCCCAGACUCCUACGGGAGGCAGCAGUGGGGAAUUUUGGACAAUGGGCGAAAGCCUGAUCCAGCAAUGCCGCGUGUGUGAAGAAGGCCUUCGGGUUGUAAAGCACUUUUGUCCGGAAAGAAAUCCUUGGCCCUAAUACGGUCGGGGGAUGACGGUACCGGAAGAAUAAGCACCGGCUAACUACGUG